AAUGAACGCUGGCGGCGCGCCUAAUACAUGCAAGUCGAGCGAGAAGACGUAGCAAUACGUUUGUAAAGCGGCGAACGGGUGAGGAAUACAUGGGUAACCUACCCUCGAGUGGGGAAUAACUAGCCGAAAGGUUAGCUAAUACCGCGUACGCUCCUUGGACUUCGGUUCAGGGAGGAAAGCGAUACCGUGGGUAUCGCGCUCGUUGGUUGGGCUCAUGUCCUAUCAGUCUUGUUGGUGAGGUAACGGCUCACCAAGGCUUCGGACGGGUAGCUGGUCUGAGAGGACGAUCAGCCACAC
rnacentral:rRNA from 1 species